UCGCGGGGUGGAGCAGUUGGUAGCUCGUUGGGCUCAUAACCCAAAGGUCGUAGGUUCAAGUCCUGCCCCCGCUAAUAG
rnacentral:tRNA from 1 species